AACGAACGCUGGCGGCGUGGAUAAGACAUGCAAGUCGAACGGGACAGACCGAGUAGCAAUAUUUGGAAUGUUCAGUGGCGAACGGGUGCGUAACACGUGGAUAACAUUCCGGAAAGCGGGGAAUAGCCCAGGGAAACUUGGAUUAAUACCGCAUGUGGCCGCAAGGCUAAAGACGGGGACCGCAAGGCCUGUCACUUUCCGAUUGGUCCGCGGCCUAUUAGCUAGUUGGCGGGGUAAUGGCCCACCAAGGCUACAACGGGUAGCUGGUCUUAGAGGACGAACAGCCACACUGGAACUGAGACACGGUCCAGACACCUACGGGUGGCAGCAGUCGAGAAUCUUUCACAAUGGGGGCAACCCUGAUGGAGCGACGCCGCGUGGAGGAUAAGGUCUUCGGAUUGUAAACUCCUGUCAUGCGAGAACAAGGUACUCAGGCUAAUAACCUGAUUGUUUGAUGGUACCGCAAGAGGAAGAGACGGCUAACUCUGUGCCAGCCGCCGCAGUAAGAC
rnacentral:rRNA from 1 species